rnacentral:rRNA from 1 species
CCUACGGGGGGCUGCAGUGGGGAAUAAUGGACAAUGGGCGAAAGCCUGAUCCAGCCAUGCCGCGUGUGUGAAGAAGGCCUUCGGGUUGUAAAGCACUUUCAGUGGGGAAGAAAGCCUUGGGGCUAAUACCCUCGAGGAAGGACAUCACCCACAGAAGAAGCACCGGCUAACUCCGUGCCAGCAGCCGCGGUAAUACGGAGGGUGCGAGCGUUAAUCGGAAUUACUGGGCGUAAAGCGCGCGUAGGCGGUCUGAUAAGCCGGUUGUGAAAGCCCCGGGCUCAACCUGGGAACGGCAUCCGGAACUGUCAGGCUAGAGUGCAGGAGAGGAAGGUAGAAUUCCCGGUGUAGCGGUGAAAUGCGUAGAGAUCGGGAGGAAUACCAGUGGCGAAGGCGGCCUUCUGGACUGACACUGACGCUGAGGUGCGAAAGCGUGGGUAGCAAACAGGAUUAGAUACCCGUGUAGUC